GACGAACCGUGCGAACGUUGUUCGGAUUUACUGGGCGUAAAGGGCGCGUAGGCGGCUACUGCAAGUCAGUUGUGAAAUCUCCGGGCUUAACCCGGAAAGGUCAACUGAUACUGCAGGGCUAGAGUGCAGAAGGGGCAACUGGAAUUCUCGGUGUAGCGGUGAAAUGCGUAGAUAUGCGGAGGAACACCGAUGGCGAAGGCAAUCCCCUGGGCCUGCACUGACGCUCAUGCACGAAAGCGUGGGGAGCAAACAGG
rnacentral:rRNA from 1 species